rnacentral:rRNA from 1 species
UACGUAGGGGGCAAGCGUUGUCCGGAUUUAUUGGGCGUAAAGAGCGUGUCGGCGGCUUGGUAGGUCCGCUGUGAAAACUCGAGGCUCAACCUCGAGAUGUCGGCGGAAACCACUUGGCUAGAGUCCGGAAGAGGAGAGUGGAAUUCCUGGUGUAGCGGUGAAAUGCGCAGAUAUCAGGAAGAACACCUAUGGCGAAGGCAGCUCUCUGGGACGGUACUGACGCUGAGACGCGAAAGCGUGGGGAGCGAACAGG